GGCACCCGAGUUACAGUGUUUUUUUGUUGUUGUGGGGAGGCGGAGCCCACGUGCUCUUGCAGAGUCUGAAGGCCUUUUGGAACCGCUAUUUCCGCAAGAAAGUAGGAACCGGCCCGGCUGAUUAGGAGAGUGUGGUCUAUCACCUACAGCCGGCGGAAUUGUGCGGGCUGGCGAACAUUCUUAAUGCUGCGCACUAGGAGAAUUCACUUCUGAGAUCUUCGAACCAGAAAACAAGAACACUUGACUGUUUAAAAAAACACAGGUGCCUGUGCCGUGUGAUAACCAGGAGAUACAGCCCAGGGCGGGGGAGUACGUGUCCGACCAAAGCAGCCUCCUACCCGGCACCACCACUACUGGCCGAGAGGCACUGGGCAAACUAGUCUCUUCACCCAUAUCCACCUACUAGGGUGGUUACAAGAACGAAGUGAGAUCAUCCGUGUAAAGCUCUCAGCGACAUGCCAUGCGGUAUUCAAAGGAUGGCUGCUUCCUGUUCUGCCUUGGUUGUCACCUAAUCAUCUGCGAUUUCUACCGGAACAAUGAAGGUGAUGUUUCCACCUCAAAGACUUCUGGAAGGAGAAGAGUCAGCGGCCCAUAAGAUGGUAACCGAGCUUUCUUAUUUUGCACACUGUUCCAGAGGUUUGGUGCAGCUAUCAACGUUAACAAACAGAGACGGUGUCAGGAAGAGAGCCAUAUCUGGACCGGCCCCUUGAUUCUGAACACCAUAAUUAUGAGAAGAAAUGACUCGACACUCCCAGAAGGCGUGACUUCGUGCCAGUCCAAAGCAACCUCUUGUGUGCCGGAGGAACCAUGGACCUGACUUGCCACUUCUGACUCCACGCAGUUGCAGGCCUCCUUUUCCCAGCUACUGUCUCCAUUCUGGGAACUGUCCUUUCCACACGAAGGGCUGGGUCCAGCCACAGCAGCCUGUUCCUUCUCCAACACCCUGGUUUGACAUCUCAAGCCACGUUCUUCUGAGAAUUUGGAUAUGAGAUUCAGUCCCUGCUGAAGGACAGAAACCAGCCUGCAGAUACAGAACGAGGUUGAUGAUAAUGUUGAUAGGUACCAUAAUUGAGAGCUCAGUGUGUGUCAGGUACCGUUCUAAGAGUUUUUCACAUGUUGACUAAUUUAAUCAUCACCACAACUCUACCAAGUAGGUAUGUUCAUCAUUUCCCCCUUUUUACAUCACUUCCCUUUUUGAGGAAAUUCAGGUGUGAGAGUAUUUGCCCAGGGUCACAUAGCUAUUAAGUCUGGACACAGGCAAGAGUAGAGGAUCUUACCUCCAGACAGAAAAGCAGAGUAUCCUCACGGUUCUUUGGUCUUGCCCUUCUUUCUCACGGAUUCCAUGACAUGUUUCAGUAUCUUGCCAAUGAAUUCCUUUUUUGCUUUAA